GACAGAGGUGCCGAGCGUUAGGCGGAAUCACUGGGCUUAAAGCGUGUGUAGGCGGGCGGGCAAGUACCUUGUGAAAUCCCACGGCUCAACCGUGGAACGGCUGGGUAUACUGCCUGUCUUGAGCCAACUAGGGGCGAGCGGAACAGACGGUGGAGCGGUGAAAUGCGUAGAUAUCGGAAAGAACACCAACGGCGAAAGCACUCUGCUGGGCCGACACUGACACUGAGAGACGAAAGCUAGGGGAGCGAAUGGG
rnacentral:rRNA from 1 species